rnacentral:rRNA from 1 species
AGUGAACGCUGGCGGUAGGCCUAACACAUGCAAGUCGAACGGCAGCACAGUAAGAGCUUGCUCUUACGGGUGGCGAGUGGCGGACGGGUGAGGAAUACAUCGGAAUCUACUUUUUAGUGGGGGAUCACGUAGGGAAACUUACGCUAAUACCGCAUCCGACCUACGGGUGAAAGCAGGGGAUCUUCGGACCUUGCGCGAUUGAAUGAGCCGAUGUCGGAUUAGCUAGUUGGCGGGGUAAAGGCCCACCAAGGCGACGAUCCGUAGCUGGUCUGAGAGGAUGAUCAGCCACACUGGAACUGAGACACGGUCCAGACUCCUACGGGAGGCAGCAGUGGGGAAUAUUGGACAAUGGGCGCAAGCCUGAUCCAGCCAUACCGCGUGUGUGAAGAAGGCCUUCGGGUUGUAAAGCCCUUUUGUUGGGAAAGAAAAGCAGCAGGUUAAUACCCCGCUGUUCUGACGUUACCCAAAGAAUAAGCACCGGCUAACUUCGUG